rnacentral:rRNA from 1 species
GAAGCCUGGAGUGCCUGAAGUUCGUGACCGCGAGGAGCGACCAAGGGUAAGACAGGUAACUGGGGCUAAGUCGUAACAAGGUAGCCGUACCGGAAGGUGCGGCUGGAACACCUCCUUUCUGGAGC